AUACCCAUAGUUACCACUGGGAGCAGGGUGGGCCGUUUACACUCCUCGUCCUACCUCGCCAUCACCUUAGGAAGCAGCCAUUCUCCUUGUCCUUACUGUAGAGGAGGAAGCCUGGACAGCCUGCAGUUGAGGGGACCUGCACAAGCUCACAGGACUCUUCAUCACCAUGACACCACCCUCACCGCAAAAUAAAAAUGAUUAAACCUGUCAUGAUGUCAGCAGCACCGGUGUUGGUCUUUGUGGGAAAGAAAAACACAGGCCAGGGCUGCAGCACCAUUGUGUCUGCCCAGCUUGCAGCCUGGAGAACACCGUUGGAUUCCCUCCCACACAUGCUCCCAGGCUGCCUGCCUGCCUCACUUACCUGCUCAGGGUGGGGCUUGAGGGUGGCCCCUGGGAAGAGUAAGAACUGGCCAAGACUGAGAUGUCCUUCCCUCAUUUAAGGUACCGCCUUUUCCCUUUUCCCGCCAUCCUGGGUGCAUGGAUACUUGGGAUUAGAAACUGGACUGGAAAUGUAAUCUUUCUUCGGUUUGGGGCUGAGAACUGGGGAUUAGUAGAUUUGAGUUUAUGGCACAGCCUUUUCUUACACCAUUUCCUAAAAGCAGUUAAGAUUACACCAGGCACGGUGGCUUACGCCUGUAAUCUCAGCACUUUGGGAGGCUGAGGCAGGUGGAUCACCUGAGGUCAGGAGUUCAAGACCAGCUUGACCAACAUGGUGAAACCCCAUCUCUACUAAAAAUACAAAAAUUAGCUGGGCGUGGUGGCAUGCAUUUGUAGUCCCGGCUACUUGGGAGGCUGAGGCAGGAGAAUCCCUUGAACCCGGGAGGCGGAGGUUGCGGUGAGCUGAGAUCGCACCAUUGCACUCCAGCAGCCUGGGCAACAAGAACGAAACUCCGUCUCAAAAAAAAAAAAAAAAAAAAAAAAUUACAGUCAUCUCCCAGAAAAAUCAAGAAGGAAGACCCUUGGAGGUUCAACCUAUAGAAGAUAUGUUCUCAUGGAAUAAACCAAAAAUAAUUUUUAUUUUUUAAAAAAAUCAAGAACAGAAGUCUCUCAACAUUUAAGUUUUACAAACAAAUAGAAUCUGAGCCACUGGGUUAAACAUGACAAACGACACACAGUAACAAAUAUUGAAGACAUCGUAAUGCCAAAGCAACAGAAGCAGCACCGGAAAUGUUGCUGAGGCCACCAUUUAAUUAACGCAAGUUGAACAUAUGGCUUUGGUUACAUGUGGUUCCAGGCCGGAGGCAUGAAAGUCAGUGUUUGUGGGAAAGCCAGGAGGAAAAGCUCCUCUCCCCACCCCCUUCUUGUCACUCCAGGUUCUGGUGACCCCAUCUCAGGACACGGCCUCCCAUUUCACUCCUGCACCAACCCCACUCUUGUAACACUGCACAUGCAAGAUGUGAGCAUCUUCAAAGUACGAAUAUUGCCUUCUUCAUUUUAGAAUCCAUGAUGUGCUUGUGGGGAGAAUGAAUGAAUGCUCAAACAUGAAUGGAGAGAGACAGAGAGGAAGUGCAGGUCUAACCAAGGAAACAUUCUUUCCUAGAAAAUCGUUGAUGAGCCCAGAAAGAGUUGGCUGAAUAACGGUAACAAUUCUUUUAUUAUUAUUUAACUUAUUAAGUUAUUAGAAAAAGUAAAACAGUGAGUCAAGGUUUUUGGAUUGGAAGAAGGGACCCACUGAGUUCCCUCCAGGAUUGUGGAGUUUCUUUUACAGCCAUAUGUGGAUAAGAAACUAAGGGCCACAGACCAAAUAACAGGUCGGAUGGCAACCCUGGAAAAGUCACACAGCUCAGCCUGUUGGAGGAAGAGGAGCAGUAGAACCUGUGUGGAGCCUGACAGAACCCAAGAUGCCAUUCACGAACCGCGAGGUCUUUCAAGAUCACACACAGUUCUACGACACAGACAUUUCAUCUUCUUGCUACUCAGUAGCGGGGCCCAUCCCUCUGUGCCUCCAAGCUCCGUGCGCCACGUGGAAAACUCAGGUGUUCUGUCUCUGCCAGGACCUUCUUCCUGCUGCUUAUUUAAGUGUCUGCUGCUUCGGGGCCUCAGGUGCCUGCUUUAUCUCUUUCUCCUUUACUAUCAAGUCUUUACUCUAAGCAAUUUGCCAAGACAGAGAAUCUCACUGGCCUGGUGGGGCUGAGCCUUCCUUCACUGGCUGACCAACCGGGAAGUGGGCUGCUGCUUGGAUCAGGAGAAAGAAUUGUGCCAUGAAAAAUGGAAAACUCCUGAGAAGCUGUUCCAGCGUCAGGAGAGCAGCAGACAAGCUGGACUGGGGAAGAUUCUUCUGCAAGACCUGCAGAGUGUAUGACACAUAACCAGCACCCAAGAAAUGUCUACCGAGGAAUUAAUGAAUGAGGAAAUACCUCUGUACACUCACCAGACACUGGCUGCUGGGUGUCAUGGUGCUAAGAGCUGUGGGAAACAUGAAGGGCAAUGAGACCAGGUCCCUGCUCUGAGGAGACGUGUGCCAGCGAAGU
rnacentral:lncRNA from 1 species